AUGGGGGGACCAUCCUCCAAGGCUAAAUACUCCUGACUGACCGAUAGUGAACCAGUACCGUGAGGGAAAGGCGAAAAGAACCCCGGCGAGGGGAGUGAAAAAGAACCUGAAACCGUGUACGUACAAGCAGUGGGAGCCCCACCACUAAGCCAGUGGUGAACUCCACAUCCGCAUCCUUUGCUGAGGAUACGGUUAACGGAGCGAAAGCGACGUUCAACCGCAAAACAAGCAGAGGGGGCUUAGUGGUGGGGUGACUGCGUACCUUUUGUAUAAUGGGUCAGCGACUUAUAUUCUGUAGCAAGGUUAACCGAAUAGGGGAGCCGGAGGGAAACCGAGUCUUAAUUGGGCGUUAAGUUGCAGGGUAUAGACCCGAAACCCGGUGAUCUAGCCAUGGGCAGGUUGAAGGUUGGGUAACACUAACUGGAGGACCGAACCGACUAAUGUUGAAAAAUUAGCGGAUGACCUGUGGCUGGGGGUGAAAGGCCAAUCAAACCGGGAGAUAGCUGGUUCUCCCCGAAAGCUAUUUAGGUAGCGCCUCGUGAAUUCAUCUCCGGGGGUAGAGCACUGUUUCGGCUAGGGGGCCAUCCCGGCUUACCAACCCGAUGCAAACUGCGAAUACCGGAGAAUGUUAUCACGGGAGACACACGGCGGGUGCUAACGUCCGUCGUGAAGAGGGAAACAACCCAGACCGCCAGCUAAGGUCCCAAAGUCAUGGUUAAGUGGGAAACGAUGUGGGAAGGCCCAGACAGCCAGGAUGUUGGCUUAGAAGCAGCCAUCAUUUAAAGAAAGCGUAAUAGCUCACUGGUCGAGUCGGCCUGCGCGGAAGAUGUAACGGGGCUAAACCAUGCACCGAAGCUGCGGCAGCGAACGUAUCACCCAAGACAACUUUACGGAGUUGACGAUUGACGGAGCGAAGCGACGUCAAAGCGUUCAUUAAAGUCGAGUUGGCUUAGGGAUACGUUCGUUGGGUAGGGGAGCGUUCUGUAAGCCUGUGAAGGUGUGUCGUGAGGCAUGCUGGAGGUAUCAGAAGUGCGAAUGCUGACAUAAGUAACGAUAAAGCGGGUGAAAAGCCCGCUCGCCGGAAGACCAAGGGUUCCUGUCCAACGUUAAUCGGGGCAGGGUGAGUCGACCCCUAAGGCGAGGCCGAAAGGCGUAGUCGAUGGGAAACGGGUUAAUAUUCCCGUACUUGGUGUUACUGCGAAGGGGGGACGGAGAAGGCUAUGUUGGCCGGGCGACGGUUGUCCCGGUUUAAGCGUGUAGGUGUGUGUUCCAGGUAAAUCCGGUUCACUUUAACACUGAGGCGUGACGACGAGGCACUACGGUGCUGAAGCAACAAAUGCCCUGCUUCCAGGAAAAGCCUCUAAGCAUCAGGUAACAC
rnacentral:rRNA from 1 species